AGGAAGGAAGGAAGGAAGGAAGGAAGGAAGGAAGGAAGGAUGGAAGGAAGGGGGAGGGAAGGAGGAAGGGAAGGGAGAGGAUAAAGAAGGAAAGAAAGAAGGAAGGAGGGAAAGAAGGAAGGAAGGAAGAGAGAAAGAAAGAAGUAGUAUAGUAGCCAAAGAAAGGAAGAAAGGAAAAGAGAAGAAAGAAAGAAAAAAGAAAGAAGAGAGAAGAGCAAAGAAAGGAGUCAUAUAAUCCCACAAUUCAAAAUGCUACUUGAAAUUGGCAUCUAAUAAACCUGUGGUAAAUUGCAUUCCAGUUACUGGCCAGUCCUGUAAUCUUAAACCUCAAUCUACAUCUGUCUGUGGAUGAGAGGCAAUAACCUCUCUUUGUUGUGGGUAUUAACAUAAUACAUGGAGAUUGCCUCAUAUAGUGAUACAUUGGCUACAUUGUAGCCUUUCAAAAGAUAAUUUCAUUUUUGUUAUUUUGUCUGCUACAGAUAUUCUGUAAGAGGGUAAAGAUCCUCUAAUUGUAUAUGUGUGAACAUAGACAAUGAAGACAAAGAUAUAGAGCAUCACUCUGAGAACUCCCUUGUUUUUCAGAUCAUAUUUGAAGCUUUUAGGGGUUUACUGAUAGUCACAUGAACUAAGGGAAAGCAGUGUAUCUUUCACAUCUAGUAAACAUCUAAUUUUAAAACAGAAAACCAUGAUCAAUUCUUAAAAGAAAGAGAAAUCAAUGUAAGAAUACAUAGGAAACUGGUAACGUUGCCUCUAGGAAGGAGGAAUGGGAGAUAAACGUGGGGAUGGUAGAGUCAAUUUUCACUUUACUCCCUUUUAUAUUUUGGUAUAGUCUGUACACAUUUUGGCAUAAUUAUUUUAAAUGGUAUUUUAAAAAAACCAGACACUGAAGAGAAAUGGCAUUUAAGUAAAUCAGCACAAUGUAUUCCAAGCAGUCAGGUCUUCUACAGUUUUGGAAAAACUGUGCUUUGCAGGGAAUCAGUUGGGAGUAGAAAGUUUUUCAAGCAUAUUUUUCACAGACAUGCUUUUUUAUGAAUCAGAGUAUCUCUUGUGUAUUCAAGUAACACUCUAAACUGUCUUUAAAAUUUAUGCAUAGAAAAGUAUCAUCAGAAGCAGCUAAGCAAUGAUUAUUUAACUAAGUAGCAAAUAUUUUUAAUAGAACAAUAUGCAAAGCUCUUGGCUAGUCCUUUGGUGGAGAGGUACUGGAAGGAAGUUGUAAAAGAUACUAUAAAUGUGUUUAAGAUAUAAAAUAAUCUUGUUCUGGAUUAUGAAGCAGUGGGGAAGAUGAACACAUUUUAAAAACCACUAUAAGGUAUCCUGCAAUAUGUUUUAUAAAUUCAUAGCAUUAAUAAAUACUAUAUGACAUGGAGAGAAAAUGAUAUUUUUGUGUGUAGAGAAAUUUAAGAAAGUGUCUUCGGAGAAGUUGUUAGAAGAACUGAUACCUGAUGGUUGUCUAUGGAGUAAAGGGCCUUGCAGACAGUAAGAGCAGUUCAAUUAAGGAGCUGAGGUUGGUGAGCACAGGGAGUGCUUAGACAGGAAACCGUACGAGGGUACCAGGGGAGGGCAAUACAUUAGGAGACAGGCCAGGUGUGGUGGCUCAUGCUUGUAAUCCCAGCACUUUGGGAGCCUCAGGCAGGUGGACCACCUGAGGUCAGGAGUUUGAGACCAGCCUGGCCAACAUGGCGAAACCCCGUCUCUACUAAAAAUACAAAAUUUAGCUUGGUGUAGUGCCCGGCGCCUAUAAUCCCAGCUACUCAGGAGGCUGAGGCAGGAGAAUCGCGUGAACCCGGGGGACAGAGGUUGCAGCGAGCCUAGAUCCCUUUACUGUACUCUAGCCUGGGCAAAAGAGUGAAACUCCGUCUCAAAAAAAUAAAUAAAUAAAUAAAAAUAGACAGACUCCAGUCAGGAAAGAGCCAAAGAGCCAAACCGCAUCAGGAUUUGAACAUCAGGUUGAGGACUUUGAACUUUUUUCUAGGAAAAACGGGAACAUUUGAAGAUUUUUCAGCCAAGUUAACACUAUCAGAUGAUAACUUUGUGUCAGUUUAACAGAGGAACUGGCAUGAGGAGCAACUCAGGACUGUGAGAUUAGAAUAGGCUUUUCAGAUGGUACCUGAAUAGGAGCCUCAUUAUAUGUCAAUCAUGGCUCUGACUGGUCCUGCCAAAGCAAUAAAAUGUGGGCCUACCUGGGGGGACAACUCCAAAACAGGCACGUCUCAUGCCUCUUCCUUUCACAUUUUUUUUUAAUCUGGAAUUUUUGUUAACAUCAUGAGGAGAAACACAUGUCUGGCAUCAUUCAUGAUUACCUUAAGUGAAGAGGUGAUUCAAAAGCAAUUGACUCUGUUACACGGAGCAUGACCACAAUUAUGCUGGAGGUCACGGCUAUUUGAAUCAAUAAAAGAAUAUGAGUUGAGAUGUUGCUCCCUUAGGAGUUUCAGGAGAGUCCAUUUUCAAUAUCUACACUAAGGUUUCUUCUAAUUAAGGAAGAUUUUUCUUUUGAAACUGGGGUUUUGUAUAACAAAAUAUUAUGCAGUAGCUUCCAGGGAUAAUUUCCUAAGGUAAGGUUUUAGUUAGAGCUUAUGACUUGUCUUAUAAAUUAGAUAUUUUUUUUUUCCCAAUUCAAGAAGCUAAGAGUUACUUCUGGAAUUCUUUGGAAGAGCUAUACUGGUUAAGUGCCUGGCUCACAGUCUAAAAAAAUGCUUUUUUUUUGUUUAAGGAAGCUCAAGCAGAAGCCCUCAGUUCUGAUUUGCCCACGGUGUCAAACAUCAGAGGAAUUUUCCAAUGGGCCUUUAUGAGUUUUAUUUUCGCUCCAAUUAGGAAGAUACCUGGGUGUUUAAUGGGCACUUUUCAAGCUACCGGAGCAGAGCUAGAGCAAAUGACCUCAUUUACUUGGACAAAUAAAGCAACAGUGUCACAGAUGCUUCGUAAAGCUUCACAUAAUUGCAAAUGGGAGAUGUUACUUUGAAAGUUUGGACUUCUGCUAGACCUUUGCCUCUAAUGCUCAUGACUUUGGUCUAAUCACUGAGACAUGGUUAGGAAAGACCAGCUGGAAGUUGUUUCUGGAGAUGGAGCUUUAUGUUUUCCCAAGCUACUCUUUAGAGGUAUGAUGGAUCUCCCCACAAAGUCUGGUUCAGGUGUCAAGACCUACACACCAAGAAACGAUGAGAAGAAUUAUCAUUCACAUGAGACUUUCUGGGGCAAGCAGAGUGGCUACCAAACAGGUCUUAAAAUGGCUUGAGAAAUCCAGGUCCCAGAUAAUAAUUAGGAAAACAAAUCAGGACCGAAACUCCAGAGAGGCACUUUUGAAGUGGCCUCCGAUGCGAAGGUGAGAUCAGAAAUACGCCUGUGGAACCCUCUACAUGCGGAUCUGGCAAGCAUUCAACACAAACGCAAUUAGAGGGCUUACCCUUGCAUGAAAUAUUUGCUUUCCUGAUAGUCACUAACUUUAAACUUUAGGAAUGCCAGGGCAUAGUGUUUCUGUAUCAGAACUAGAAUCCUCUACUUCACUUUCUUCAGCUAUUAUUUUUGAAGUUUGCAUAUCGUAUUAAAGUCCCACCAAACAAUAAAUAGGAAAGCAUGAUUUUAUUAAAAUCCUCUUGAGACAACCGCAUCUGCCCUGGCUAUUCUUUGAUCAGGGUCUGAGAGGUUGCAGCAUGCACACUCACCCAGAGGUACUUGAGAGCAUUGUUCACGUAUUCAAUGAAUAUUGAAUGCUAGAGUGAAUCUACACUGGGCUUAGAUCAGCAUAAAUCUCCACAACUCACCUUCAAUGGUGGACACAGGCAACUAACCAGG
rnacentral:lncRNA from 10 species